GAACCCUUGGUUUUGGCCCAUGUGAUACGGGAUGUGUUGGAUGCAUUUACACCAACUGUCCCCCUCAGAAUAACCUACAACAAUAGGCUACUUCUAGCAGGUGCUGAGCUGAAACCAUCUGCAAUUGUGAAUAAGCCAAGAGUUGAUGUUGGGGGCACUGACCUCAGGGUGUUCUAUACACUGGUAAGCAAAGAUGAUAUGCUAUAUAUUAUGUGGCACCAUAACACCAUCCUUUUAUAUAUUGGCAAUGUAACUACAACUUGAGAAGUUUAAACUCAAUCCCUCGUUCCAUUUUUUUUGUUCUUCAUCUGCAAAAAGGUAUUGGUGGAUCCAGAUGCCCCAAGCCCAAGCAACCCAUCACUGAGGGAGUACUUACACUGGUAAGUCCAAUGCCAGGUUUGCAAUGUCUCUUUACCUUCCGCGGUGAGCUAAAUACCUUGACUAUUGUGAUGGCAUGGCGCACAUUCUAGGUUCUUAUUUGUUGUCUACCUUUUAGAUCCCUUUAACUGGUGUUCUCUUUUGAUAUAAUGUGUGCUGCAUGUAGGAUGGUGAUAGAUAUUCCUGGAACAACUGGAGCCAGCUUUGGUAUGAUCUCUUGAAACCACUUUUCCCAUCUAGAUUCUUCAUUUUUCAGCAGGAUUUUGUAGAUUGCAAAAUAUUCUCAGAAGUUUUAAUUGACUCACUAUCAACAAAAUUGACCUACCACUUGCUAGCAGUUACAACCUACAAUGAAUAAUGUGGCCAUAAAACGAAUGCUAUAUGAAGCUAAUUUUCUAUAGGAUCUAGAGCAUGUACAUGCAAUUUCAAAUUUCCCACACUCUGAUCCGUUAUAUAAUGUCAGAAAAUUAAAGAAGCACACCUUCACAUUCCAAAGUAAAAAAAAAAUGCUCUAGCAAGUCUCCAACUUUACUGCUUAUCCGUAGGUCAACAAUCGAUUUUGGACAAGUUAACUUAUAUAUGCAAGGAAAUGUAAACCUGAACCACAAGUCUACAAGCAAACAUCAGAGCCCAACAUGGACCACCUUAAGAUAGGAAAUACUAGUAAACCUAUCAUUUCAGGCCAAUGCAAUGUUUGAAUCUAUAAAACAAAACAAAAGCACUUUUGAUAUAAUUAAGUGGUUACUGCGUUUUUUAAGUUUAACUAUGUACCCACCAUAUGUGGUCUAUAAUACGAGCAACUUUUGAAAUUUGGCUGUUCGAGAAAAACUUUUGAAAUUUGGCAUAGUGUGUUAUAUAUUAUGAUGGUAUAUAAUGCUCUUCUUUCCAAUUCUAUCUGUACUUAUAUGUUAAGUAGGCUGGCUGACUUAAUUUGCAAAAGCUAUGAAACCAGACCCUGUAUGAGUGACAUUGAUUUGUCUAGGAUAGAAGAGGAAUCGAUACAUCGUACCAAUAAAGUGAAAAUUGUUUUAGCAUUGUGAACAAGCGCUGGAUUCAUAAUUAUAAAUUUAAUACCAGAGCCGUUUUGCAGGUCAGGAGCUCAUGUUCUACGAAAGGCCAGAACCAAGAUCUGGUAUACACCGCAUGGUGUUUGUGCUGUUCCGACAACUUGGCAGGGGGACAGUUUUUGCACCAGACAUGCGACAUAACUUCAAUUGCAAGAGCUUCGCACGUCAAUACCACCUAGACAUUGUGGCCGCCACAUAUUUC
rnacentral:lncRNA from 1 species